rnacentral:misc_RNA from 1 species
CUCCCCAUUACCUUGACACUAAAGAAGUUGACAUUAGCAAUUCUAUCCUUGAUCCUAUAGAAGCUCGCGCUGGUAAAUGGUCACAGAUUCCAAAAAAUGAAAAGGAUUCCAAUCAAAAUUCCAAGAAUUCAAAAGAAGCUGCUUCAUUCCUUGGAGAUAAACACUACUAUGUCUUGUCUCCAAGUAUCAGCCACAAACAGUACUCUGAUAAAGUUUUAAUUUUCAAAGUUCCUAGAAUGGUUGAAGGUAAACCAUGUGGCAAGGCUGUAUCUUUCAUCCCCAGUGACGUUCCAUAUGUCUCGGACAUGGAACAGGAAAUCAAUGAAACAGCCUCUAAUCGAGUUUUUGAAAGUUUCGAAGUUCUUCCAUAUCAUAAAGUCAAUGGCGAUGAUGCAGUCUCUCUCUCCUCAGGUCCUCCAGAUGAAAUGGAUGUUCUAGUGUUGAGCAAGAAAAAUUUCAGUGACUUUGUUUCAGAGAACAAGUAUGUGGUAGUGAACUUCUAUAUGCCACGGUCUUAUUGGAGCAAGGAAGGUUUAGAUUAUGCAGCGGCUGCCACUAUGCUGAGGGGAAAGGUGCUGUUUGCUAAAGUUGAUGCUAGUCAGGAAAAAGAGUUGGCAAGGACAUAUAGAUUUCCGGGGUAUCCUACUUUGUAUUUCUUCAUUAGUGGAG